rnacentral:rRNA from 1 species
AUUGAACGCUGGCGGCAGGCCUAACACAUGUAAGUCGAACGGCAGCGGGGGGUAGCUUGCUAUCCUGCCGGCGAGUGGCGGACGGGUGAGUAGUGCAUGGGGAGCUGCCCAGUCGAGGGGGAUAACAACUGGAAACGGUUGCUAAUACCGCAUACGCCCUAAGGGGGAAAGGAGGGGAACUUCGGUCCUACCGCGAUUGGAUGCGCGCAUGUGGGAUGAGCUAGUUGGUGAGGUAACGGCUCACCAAGGCGACGAUCUCUAGCUGGUCUGAGAGGAUGACCAGCCACACUGGAACUGAGACACGGUCCAGACUCCUACGGGAGGCAGCAGUGGGGAAUAUUGCACAAUGGGGGAAACCCUGAUGCAGCCAUGCCGCGUGUGUGAAGAAGGCCUUCGGGUUGUAAAGCACUUUCAGUCAGGAGGAAGGGGUGAUAGCUAAUAUCCAUCAUCAUUGACGUUACUGACAGAAGAAGCACCGGCUAACUCCGUGCCAGCAGCCGCAGUAG